AUGGAUGGUUUUGCAAACCCGACAUGCGGCGAUGUGUACCAUAUAACUGGAAUUAACCCAUGCAAGUCGAAGAAGGAUUGGCCGGUGCUGCCGGCUGGCGUCACGUUCGAUCCCACGGAUCAGGAGCUGAUCGAGCACCUUGAGGCCAAAGUGAGUGCUGACAGCGUGAGAUCUCACCGUCUCAUCGAUUUGUCCAUACCAACCAUCGACAGCGAGCACGGCAUAUGCUACACCCAUCCUGAGAAACUUCCAGAUGUUAUGAAAAUGCCAACUACGUACACUAAAACCUGUUUUCGACAAUACUGCAGGUAUCACCCUGAGUGGCCUAAGCAAGCAUUUCUUCCAGCGCAAUUCCAGGUGUUCAAAAGGGGCAUGUGGACACAUCGCAAGAUACAAUCGGAGUGCGGCAUGCACGCGAUGUGGCACAACACCAGCAAUACCUUGCCGGUGAUGGUCAACGGCCGGCAGACGGGCAACAAAAAGGUUGUGGUGCUGCACACCAACAAGAACUUCGACCAGCAGAGGACCAACUGGGUGAUGCACCAGUACCACCUCGGGGACCUGGAGCAAGAGAAGGAGCGGGAGCUGGUCCUCUGCAAGAUUUUCUACCAGACGAACACUAGGGCUAGGAGUAAAAAGAUUAUAAGUUAG
rnacentral:rRNA from 1 species